CGUUGAUGUAACAUCCUCCCCGACCGCUAUGAAGGUCACAACGCGUGCAUACAAGGCCGUCUGCCUCAAGGCGGAACUCGACGAAUCGGGAGCUGCAGCAAAAAGCAUGCAAGUGAGUCCCGCGUGUCAGCACCGAAAGCGCUCGACAGAAACCAUACGUCCUUUCGAUAAAUAGAGCAGUCAAAGAGGCUGCGAAAUCGGUAAAAAAACAUCGGCAGCAAUGGAGCCGCAAACAAAUAAAUCACGCAUAGGUAAUCUCAAAACUUGGAUUGCGGCAUUUUGCUUCUUGCUGAUGGGCAUGUUCCCUCCUUCAGGGGCCGUCUUCAUUGAAAACUUUAGCCAUGGGCGAAUUCUCCCCGUGGUGUGCUACUACAAGAUCAGCCAGGCUUUUCGCCCUUAUCCCAUGAACUAUACUGUGGAAGACAUACCCGGGAACCUUUGCAGCCACGUGAACCUGGCUUACUUCGGAUUGAACGAGACGACUUGGACUAUCAAG